CUCUAGGCUUAAAAAACAGUUGGUUGGAUUCUGACUGGGAGACAAUGAAGGCCCUGGAGAUUUAUUAAUGUCCUCUUUCCCUCACACAAAUUGACUGCAAAUUAUACCUUAGUAAAAGACUCCACUCUCCUCCAUUCUUGUUGAUUAACUAGAACCAUUUGAUCUCAUUAUACACAGAUGACAUUUCUUUUUGCCUUGCAUCGACUCCAAGCUAAAGAUCAGGAAUGCAGUCUUCUGGAAGAAAUAACAACAGAACAUCAACAAAGAGCUGAAUCUGGUGUCUUGACUAUAGUAUACCAGGAUAUGCACCCCGGGUCCAGGUUGCCCUGUGAGCUGACCAUGGACCUUAGAUUGAACCUUACGCAAGAAUACCUUACGCAAGACCAAGUGACUGAGUCAGAAUUCUAGAGUGGUUGUAGUCUGGAUUCGAGAACAAAAAUCAGCAAACUGUGGCUCUUAGGACAAAUCCAACUGGCUGUCAGGUUUUUUAAAUGAAAAUUAAUUGGAACGCAAUCAUGUUCUUUGGGUCACUAUUAUCUAUGACUGCUUUCCUGCUACAAGGACAGAGUUGAACAAGAGACUGAUCAAAAAGCAUACAACUUUGUAGGAGUGGAAUACCUUAUGCAAGACCAACAAAAUAAAAAUUAACAUCUUAGGACUAAAUGGAUGAAAUAAAUGGAAUUCUUU
rnacentral:lncRNA from 1 species